GCCCGAGUAGCUCAGACAGAAUUCGGUUCUGAAAUUGGUUCCGAGUCUGGGGCCACAGGUAGAGUGAUCGGCUGUUAACCGAUUGGUCGAAGGUUCAAGUCCUUCCUCGGGCG
rnacentral:tRNA from 1 species